rnacentral:rRNA from 1 species
AACGAACGCUGGCGGCGCGCCUAAUACAUGCAAGUCGAGCGAGAAGGUGUAGCAAUACACUUGUAAAGCGGCGAACGGGUGAGGAAUGCAUGGGUAACCUACCCUCGAGUGGGGAAUAACUAGCCGAAAGGUUAGCUAAUACCGCAUACGUUUCCGGAACUUCGGUUUCGAAAAGAAAGCAAUACCGUGGGUAUUGCGCUCCUGGAUGGGCUCAUGUCCUAUCAGCUUGUUGGUGAGGUAACGGCUCACCAAGGCUUCGACGGGUAGCUGGUCUGAGAGGACGAUCAGCCACACUGGCACUGCGACACGGGCCAGACUCCUACGGGAGCAGCAGUAAGGAAUAUUGCGCAAUGGACGAAAGUCUGACGCAGCGACGCCGCGUGGGGGGAUGAAGGUCUUCGGAUUGUAAACCCCUUUCGGGAGGGAAGAUGGAGUGGGUAACCACUUGGACGGUACCUCCAGAAGCAGCCACGGCUAACUUCGUGCCAGCAGCCGCGGUAA